rnacentral:rRNA from 1 species
UACAGAGGUCUCAAGCGUUGUUCGGAUUCAUUGGGCGUAAAGGGUGUGUAGGUGGCGCGCUAAGUCGGGUGUGAAAUUUCGGAGCUUAACUCCGAAACUGCAUUCGAUACUGGCGUGCUUGAGGACUGGAGAGGAGACUGGAAUUUACGGUGUAGCAGUGAAAUGCGUAGAUAUCAGGAGGAACACCGGUGGCGAAGGCGGGUCUCUGGGCAGUAACUGACGCUGAGGAGCGAAAGCGUGGGGAGCGAACAGG